rfam:Thelohanellus kitauei scaffold04623, whole genome shotgun sequence.
GCUGGGAUAGUAUAGUGGCUAGUACCUCACGUUGUGGCCGUGAUGACCUGAGUUCGAUUCUCAGUCCCAGCA